CUGAGCUCUGUCUCCUCCUGCUUCUUUCCAGAAGGAUGAGACAAACAGCAGAAAACAACCAGCCUACACAGCUAACUCGUUUGGGGUUGCUCCGGACGUUUGGAUGUUCCCUUCCAUGGCCCAGGCCAAGCUCGCUGAGCUGCUCCUCCUUUGUGCAGGGGAAGACCGGUGCAGGUGCAAUGCGCUGGCAAAUCCACCUGCAGAAAACACUGCCAUUCCCUUUAGAAACAAAGAAACCACUCUGCCCUUGCUCCUGAGCCUGGUCCCUGCCUCCACCUGCAGGGCUUGGCUAUCCUGCCUCUGUUCGUGGGCCACUAAAUGAAAUCCAGACAACAGAAACAAAAAGAGGCAGAGGACUGGCACUAAUACUUCCCCGUUGGCGGGAAUCUCAACAGAAAGUGCUGUGCUAAAGCUGUGAGGUUCAAGGAACACCCCUAUCAAGGCAAAAGACGUAGAAUGGAAGGUUUGGUUAGUCUUCUGACUAGAAGAAGAGAAAGGACUAUUACCUCCUAUUUUAUUUUUCUUUCAGUCUCUCUCGUCAUGUAGAUCUGAGGAUGACCAAAGCCUGUUGCCCCAAGCAUUGCUGAACCCGUCAAAAUGGUUGCUCAGAGCUAUUGCACCGGCACAUCGCACAGAAGAACUGUGUAACCUAAGUAGCAAGGGGAGAAGAAAGGGGAGCGGCUAACAUUCAUUACCUCCCCUAAACUGAUAGUCGUUGGCUUCUUGUCCCAUCCAAAUCCUGGCAAGCAGGAUAACAAAGAUUUAGUGAUGUUUACAACUGUGGUAGGGAUUGCUGGAUACAACCAGCCACCCAAGGCUGAGCACGCUCUCCGAUCCCUUUCGCAAUUCUAGAAAUACCCAGAAGAGCUCCGUGUUCUCUUGCUUUCAUUUCCUUACACGAACCAUUUUCAAAUGCACGUUGUCAUAGGCUGACACAAGACCUAGGGCCUAAAGCCACAGCCACAGAGGUGGACACUGGCCCCAGGGCCUGAAUCCAUAUCUACAGCCAGAGAGGCCGGCACCAGCCCUGUGGCCUAAAAACACAGACAGAGAAACCGGCACCGGCCUCGGGACCUGGAACUACAGCCACAGCUGGAGAGGCCACUACCAGCUUUGGGCCUAAAGCCACAGCCACAGCCAGACAAACCAGCACGGACCCUGGGGCCUGAAGCCACAGGCACAGCCUGAGAGACCGGCACCAGCUCUGGGGUCUAAAGCCACAAAAAAAGAGGCCAGCACUGAGCCCAGGCCCUAAAGCCACAGCCUGAGAGGCUGACGCCGGCCAUGGGGCUUAAAGCAAAAGCCACAGCCAGGCAGGCCAAAAAAGGCCCUGGGGACUAAAGGCACAGCUUGAAAGGCUUGAAACAGUGCAGG
ensembl:lncRNA